rnacentral:misc_RNA from 1 species
GAUGAAGAACGUAGCGAAAUGCGAUACGUAAUGUGAAUUGCAGAAUUCAGUGAAUCAUCGAGUCUUUGAACGCACAUUGCGCCCCCUGGUAUUCCGGGGGGCAUGCCUGUCCGAGCGUCAUUGCUGCCUCAAGCACGGCUUGUGUGUUGGGCCUCCGUCCUCCUCCCGGGGGACGGGCCCGAAAGGCAGCGGCGGCACCGCGUCCGGUCCUCGAGCGUAUGGGCUUCGUCACCCGCUCUUGUAGGCCCGGCCGGCGCUUGCCGACACAUCAAUCUUUUUUCCAGGUUGACCUCGGAUCAGGUAGGGAUACCCGCUGAACUUAAGCAUAUCAAUAAGCGGAGGA